GCGACUGUCGGUAGUUGGCAUAGGCGCUCAGUGGCCAUGUCGGCGUGCAGCGUGGGCGUAUGGCAGCAUGCAUGUCUAGUCCGUGUGGGCCGUCCAUGCCCGUGUAGUAACGUCGGCGGUGCCUUCGUGCGAGCGGCGAGUACUGGAUGCUGCUCUCGGGGCAAGCUCCAGGUGUUGUACACAUGGGGCCGAGCCCAAUCCGCAGCGAGCAGCGGCGGCCGACGUGGGCGGUGCCCGUGUAUGAGCCUCGGCAUACCAUCAUCUCCUCUGCUCCCCCCAAGGGCGGGCUAUUUUGUCAAGCGGGACUUACUUCAGCCUUGCAACGUCCGCAUGGGCAGCAGCGCACGGCAUCUAUUGCCGGGCGUUGGGGCUGGUGCUGGGCGUGCAUCGACGGAGCAUUUGGACGCACGGUGCGUGAGAUGUGUUUGGCACGUGCGGUUUGGUUGGAUCCCUGCUCAAGCAGCGACGUCCUGACACGCCUGCUAUCUUAGUCGCGGGGCCCGAAAGAUGGUGAACUAUGCCUGAGCGGGGCGAAUCCAAGGAAACUCUGGUGGAGGCCCGCAACGAUACUGACGUGCAAAUCGUUCGUCUGACUUGGGUAUAGGGGCGAAAGACUAAUCGAACCGUCUAGUAACUGGUUCCCUCUGAAGUUUCCCUCACUAUAGCUAGAGCUCGCGUGCGAGUUCUAUCGGGUAAAGCCAAUGAUUAGAGGCCUCGGGGGCGUAACGCACUCGACCUAUUCUCAAACUUUAAAUAGGUAUGACGGUGCGACUGCUUGGUUGAGCCGUGCCACAGAAUCAAGAGCUCCGAGUAGGCCAUUUUUGGUAAGCAGAACUGGCGAUGCGGGAUGAACCGGAAGCCGGGUUACGGUGCCAAACUGCGCGCUAACCUAGAUCCCACAAAGGGUGUUGGUCGAUUAAGACAGCAGGACGGUGGUCAUGGAAGUUGAAAUCCGCUAAGGAGUGUGUAACAACUCUCCUGCCGAAUCAACUAGCCCCAAAAAUGGAUGGCGCUUAAGUGCGCGACCUACACCCGGCCGUCAGGGCAAGUGCCAGGCCCCGAUGAGUAGGAGGGCGCAGCGGUCGCUGCGAAACCUUGGGCGCGAGCCUGGGCAGAGCGGUCGUCGGUGCAGAUCUUGGUGGUAGUAGCAAAUAUUCAAAUGAGAACUUUGAAGGCCGAAGAGGGUAAAGGUUCCAUGUGAACGGCACUUGCAAAUGGGUUAGUCGAUCCUAAUGGUCGGGGAAACCCCGACAGACAGCAUGUUUCGGGGUGUCGCGUGGUGUCCAAAGCGCUCCCGGCGGCCCUUGAAAAUUCGGAGGACCGAAUAUCGUCCACGCCCGGUCGUACUCAUAACCGCAUCAGUUCUCCAAGGUGAACAACCUCUGGUCGAUGGAACAAUGUAGGCAAGGGAAGUCGGCAAAAUGGAUCCGUAACUUUGGGAAAAGGAUUAGCUCUGAGGGCUGGGCAUGGGGGUCCCAGUCCCUAACCCGUCGGCUGUCGGUGGACUGCUCGAUCUGCUCCCGCGGUGAUAGCGGGUCGCUGUGUCCCGGCCGGGGGACGGACUGGGAAUGUUUCCUUUGGGGACGGACUGGGAAUAGUCUCAAUGGAUGUUCACACAAUGUGAUUUCUACCUAGUGCUCUGAAUGUCAAAGUGAAGAAAUUCAACCAAGCGCGGGUAAACGGCGGUAGUAACAAUGACUCUCUUAAGGUAUCCAAAUUCCUCGUCAUCUAAUUAGUGAUGCGCAUGAAUGGAUUAACCAGAUUCCCACUGUACCUGUCUACUAUCCAGCGAAACCACAACCAAGGGAACAGGCUUGGCAGAAUCAGAGGGGAAAAAAGACCGUGUUGAGCUUGACUCAAGUCCGACUUUGUGAAAUGACUUGAGAGGUGUAGUAUAAGUGGGAGCCGAAAGGCGAAAGUGAAAUACCACUACUUUUAAUGUUAUUUUACUUAUUCUGUGAAUCGGGAACGGGGCACUGCCCCUCUUUUUGGACCCAAGGCUCG
rnacentral:rRNA from 1 species